rnacentral:lncRNA from 1 species
UUUUUUUUGUUUUUGUCUUUUUAGGGCUACACCUGUGGCAUAUGGAGGUUCUCGGGCUAGGGGUCGAUUCAGAGCUGUAGCCAGCCAGCCUAUGCUACAGCUACAACAAUGCGGGAGCCGGGAGGUCCCGUGGUGGCACAGUGGUUAACAAAUCCAACUAGGAACCAUGAGGUUGUGGGUUCGAUUCCUGGCCUUGCUCAGUGGGUUAAGGAUCUGGUGUUGCCAUGAGCUGUGCAAUGCUGAACCCUUAACCCACUGAGCGAGGCCAGGGAUCAAACCUGCGUCCUCAUGGCUGCUAGUCAGAUUUGUUUCUGCUGAGCCACGAUGGGAACUCCAUCACUGCAUUUAUAUGUCAGUUUCUGGAAGCCUCUGCCAGGACUCAGAAUUCUCAUGUGCACAUCGGAAAGCUGAACGAUCCAAACUCUUGGUCUCUCCCAGUCCUCUGAGCACGUGCGCAGCCUUCUUUACCACAAAGCUCCAAGCAUUUACUAUACAACAAACUACCCAAAAACUUGGUGGCUUAAAACCACCCCCAUUUUAUUAUCUUACAAUUGUGUGGACUAGAAAUUCAGAGAGGGCUCAGCCAUCCCAUUUUUCUGCUUCACCUGGUAUCAAUUCACUUGGUAUCAAGGAAGGAAGACCCAAGACGGGCGCACUCACAUGUCUCGUGCCCACGAUGGCUGGAAAGCUGAGCCCAGCUGGGACUGUCCUCUGGAGCACAUGUUGGUGGCCUUUCAAGACAUCAAGGGGAAUCAAGGGAAUGAAUUUUUUUUUUUUUUUGUCUUUUGUCUUUUGUCUUUUGUCUUUUUAGGGCUGUACUAGGCUAGGGGUUGAAUCAGAGCUGUAGCUGCUGGCCUACACCACAGCCACAGCAAUGCAGGAUCCGAGCCGCAUCUGCAACCUACACCACAGCUCACGGCAGAUCCUUAACCACUGAGCGAGGCCAGGGAUGGAACCCGAAACCUCAUGCUUGCUAGUCGGGUUCGUUAACAAUUGAGCCUCAGAGGGAACUCCAAGGGAGUGAAUUCUUUCGUGGCAGCUCCCAUGAGCCUCCUAGAGCUCAGAGCUCCCAGGACAGCACUCGAAGGAGCCCAGCAGGGAGUUUCUGGUCUAACCACAGAAGUCACAGAAUAUCACUUCCACUGCAUCCUGCAGGCCAAGAAAACCACCAAGGUGAGGUCAGAUUCAAGUAGAGGGAAACUGGGCCCUACCCCUCAAUGGAAGAAGUAGCAAAGGAAUUGUGGCCAUUAUUGACCCAUUACGAAUGUGGUUCACAGAAGAAGGAAAAUAGGGAAUUCCAAUCACUAACCCUAUGGUCAGAGAAAAAAAACCUAGACUCAGUAUUAAAAUGUUAGGAAAGGUACCUUUUGUGUUUUAAACUAAAAUGUUUAAGAUAUGUAGGUCCUAUUUUUAUAUUGAUUCACCAACCUUUUUUUUAACUAGUUAUAUAGGAUAAGAUCUUAUCUCUCUAUUGUAAGUUUUUAAAAAUUCAAGAACUUAGAUCCAUGACAAUCUCUUAUUUGUAUUUAAGGAUUCAAAGCACAAAGCACAGGGUGUACUUGCUAAUUCAGGUCAAAAAAAAAAAAAAAAAAAAGGUGCCCACUCUUUUUUUGCCCCAGAGCUGCCUGCUCCAGCCUUGGUGGUUUGUAUGGCAAGGCUCCAUUUCCUAGAACUAAGCUGCCUUUGCUGCCAGCCGUCUGCACCGCCUCUUUCCAGUUCAUCUUGGCUGAAGCUGCCAUUUUCCAGAGCAAACCUCAGCCCCAUUCCUUUCAAAACACAGAGACUGUCUCUGACAGCUUCUAACUUAAGCUGGGUGAUGCUCCCACUCCAGAAUUCCAAGAAAAAUUAAUGCUUUCCUAACUCAGGUUUUGAAAUACCCACCACCUACCAACCCCUACAGCUCGGGCCCCUGAGAGUUUCACUAGAGCUCCAACCCCAGGGGCCCUCACACCCCCAGCACCCCUAGACGCUCUCAGUGGCCCAUCAGAAGCUGCACACCUGAGUCCUCUCAUCCUUUGUUGCCCUGGGAACCAUCUCUGGGCUUCCUCUCCCCUUCCCCCACCCCAAAGGUGCCUUCUCCACCUGUCUCUGGCAAAAUAGUUCUCGAACUUUCUACUUCCCCAUUCAGCCCUUUCCAGUUAACCUCACCCAAGGCUGUCCUCGCCUCGUGUCGAAUCCUAGCACUCCUCUGCCAGGGCUCCAGGCCGCCUCUGUCCCUGUAGCACGUGCAGUGCUCGAAGACCACGUCUAGCCUGUCGCACGUUUCCCUUUUCCCCCAAAAUGUGAACUUUGGUCACUCUCAUGGCAGGUGAAAGGGAUCAAAUGAGGCCAGGGAAUUGAACCUUAGCCACAGCAGUGACAACACUGAAUUUUUAACUACUAGGCCACCAGGGAACUCCCAAAAUGCAAACAUCUUGAGAGCAGAGACCAUGGUUUGUGUAUGGUGUGUGUGAGAGAGAGAGAGAGGGAGACGGGGGUGGGGGGGAGAUUUUAAAAUUAUUAUUCAGUAUAGAGAAUAGACUUGGGCUUCCUAAUACAUGCUCUAAAGAUGCAUAUUGAAAUUAAAUGUCAAAAAAAUGUACAUAAAUUGUGCCAGGCACUGGACUAAGCACUUUACAUUAUUUAAUUCAUACAUUUAAUCCUCAUCCUCUACCACUAUUACUUCCUCUAGGGUCUAAUUUUAACAAAAUUCCACCAAAAGGAAGAAUUGGGACAUCCCACAUAACUCAUUUGGACUGGGAUGUGGCACCCGGAACAAGCGCCCCUCCAAACGCCCGAAGACGGCGUGCGCGUUGUCAGGUGCGAUCAGCGACUUCCUGGCAGGUGUGCUCAGGUGUGUUAGGAGGGACACAGCUCUGACGGCGGGCAGAGAAUGAGACCGAUAAGCCUGUGCUCUGGGAUCCAGGCGCUCACAAGCAAGGGGCAAGAGGAGGUUUCCUGUUCUGGAUGAGAGGAGUCGUGUAGGAGGUAUGAGGAAUGAAGCCGUGGAAGUGAUGGGUGGACCUCAAACCCCACACCCCCAAAAAGGUCUGCCUUUAAUUGUUUUAUUAGAGAGUUCACCAAAAUUGGAACCAGGAAGAAAAAGAACAAGCCACAGAAAUUUGUUCUUGGCUCCAGUCAGACAGCUGAGCCCCAAACUGCGAUUCUAAAGUCUGUUUGCUAUUGAACAGGCGAAUCGAGGACCAAAAGGCACUGGCACAUCUAGUGGGCUCACAGGAGCCAUGGCCAAGUUGAGGGUUAGGGACAUGUGCCAGCAGCACGCUCGGGUACACUCUGUCCCUGCCCGAGUCUACUGCAGUAAUUAGCUUUGCUCAUUAGUUUCAAGUAAAUAAUCUCCUUGUCACAGCUGGGAUCCUUUAUCAGAACAGUGGACAUCAGGGUUUGCAAAAGCAAAGGAUUCCCCCCCCCACCCCCAGAAUUCCCUGGAACACUAAGUCAUGACCCAGAGAUUUGAAUGAAGGAAGGAAAUGUCCAAAGAGGUCUAAAAUUCCAAGGAAUAGCUCUGUCUAGAGAGUGGAAGCAUUGGGUAUGAAAAACAAAUGAAAAACAACAACAAAACCUUUGAAAUGGAUAUUGAUCUGUUCUUCAACUCAGUUUAAGUUCAGAUCAACAAAGACACGUAACUAUCUGCUAUAUAGCAGGAAAUGCAGCCCAGACCUCAGAGAUCCUGGGAGGAAACGGGUAAUAAAUGCACAAAUAGCAUUAACAUGCUAGUAAUGCACUCUGAUGGCAGAAUGUGCGGAGGGAGGGUGCCCAAGCCUGCCUGGGUCUUCAGGGAGGAUUUCCCGGAGGUGUGACUGGCACUGAUUUAAGACGAGAAGGAGCAGCGAGGAGCACUUGUGAAAGACUUGCAGAGGAGGGAGGCCUGGGCAUGAUUCUGAGCCUUUUAAAACAAUGGGCAAAAUACAUACGCUCAACCUUUUAUCCCUUGGUAUCCCAUCAUUAUGCCCAUUUCGAGGAAGGAGAAAAUGAAGAGAGAUUUCAACGCUGCCCGUGGAUUGCCUGUGGGGUUGGGGUUGAGGGAGGACAAUGCUGGGAUAGUGAGGCAGGACCCUACC